rnacentral:rRNA from 1 species
UGCAGUCGAGCGGACAGAUGGGAGCUUGCUCCCUGAUGUUAGCGGCGGACGGGUGAGUAACACGUGGGUAACCUGCCUGUAAGACUGGGAUAACUCCGGGAAACCGGGGCUAAUACCGGAUGGUUGUUUGAACCGCAUGGUUCAGACAUAAAAGGUGGCUUCGGCUACCACUUACAGAUGGACCCGCGGCGCAUUAGCUAGUUGGUGAGGUAACGGCUCACCAAGGCGACGAUGCGUAGCCGACCUGAGAGGGUGAUCGGCCACACUGGGACUGAGACACGGCCCAGACUCCUACGGGAGGCAGCAGUAGGGAAUCUUCCGCAAUGGACGAAAGUCUGACGGAGCAACGCCGCGUGAGUGAUGAAVGUUUUCGGAUCG